rnacentral:rRNA from 1 species
CCUACGGGGGGCAGCAGUGAGGAAUAUUGGUCAAUGGACGAGAGUCUGAACCAGCCAAGUAGCGUGAAGGAUGACUGCCCUAUGGGUUGUAAACUUCUGUUAUAAAGGAAUAAAACGAGGCACGUGUGCCGUUUUGCAUGUACUUUAUGAAUAAGGAGCGGCUAACUCCGUGCCAGCAGCCGCGGUAAUACGGAGGAUCCGAGCGUUAUCCGGAUGUAUUGGGGUGAAAGGGAGCGUAGAUGGGUUGUUAAGUCAGUUGUGAAAGUGUGCGGCUCAACCGUAAAAUUGCACUUGCUACUGGCAGUCUUGAGUACAGUUGCGGUCGGCGUCUUUCGUGGUGUAGCGG